UACGGAGGGUGCAAGCGUUAAUCGGAAUUACUGGGCGUAAAGCGCACGCAGGUGGCUGAGCGAGUCGAUUGUGAAAGCCCUGGGCUUAACCUGGGAAUUGCAGUCGAUACUACUCAGCUAGAGUAUGGGAGAGGGUAGUGGAAUUCCCGGUGUAGCGGUGAAAUGCGUAGAUAUCGAGAGGAACACCUGCGGCGAAGGCGGGUUGCUGGGCUGAUACUGACGCUGAGGCGCGAAAGCCAGGGGAGCGAACGGG
rnacentral:rRNA from 1 species